GGGUCAGACUUUUCGGUGGGUCGCAGAAUUGAGAGGCAUCAGGCUGCAGACCUCCACUGUGAGGUCGCUUCCGGUGCAGGCUCCACUGUCAGUACACCUCCACUGUCAGGACGGAAGUGCGGACUUUUAAACGCCCAUUUAAAUUCAAAUUGCAUUUGCGAGGGAGUCCCACCAGCGACAGCAUGUGUCCCGCGUACCGUGAGUUGCUGAAUUUGCUCAUCCACAGAAAAUUCAUCAUUCAAUCGGAACAUGUGGUGGAAAGGCCCACCUGUGAGGUGAGGUGCCACCAGUGUUUAGGCUGAAGAAAAGGAAGGUGGAUGACAUAACUGAGGAAGAAGAGCAGCAGGCUGAGGUCUCAGUCAGACCUGACAACGUUGCCUAUGAUUGUCCUGUCUCCCAAUUAGGACUGGUCCGCCUGUCUCCCAAUGAGGACUGAUGAAGGGGGGCGGAGUGGCCUUGUUGGUGGCCUAUGUGGUGCGCCCUGUUCCAGCAGUCCAGCCCCUUCCUUGUUGGCACCUCCACCUGCUUGCCACGCUGCAGUUGUUUGAUCUCUUUUUGUUAUGGGUUAUCAAAUGACCUUGAUCAUUGUUAAACUAGAAUCACGCCUCCGUCCUCCCUCAUUGUCUGGUUACCCUAGGCCAUGACAAUGUAGACACACCAGUUAGUGCAGCAGCUAUGGUACAAACAUCUUUCUGUCUUCUCCAUAGGACUCGGUUGAAGAUCGCAUUCUUCGGGAUUGCAGACAUGCAGCAGAGUGGGUUGAGGCCAACCAUCAACUGUUCGCUGCCAAAGUGGACCUGCCUUAUGUUUUGUCCAUAGGGGAGGAGAACCAGGCUGAGGCUGCUCUGCAUUAUGGGAGGUUGUGGAAAGAAAAAGUCGAAGAUGAUGAAAAGGAAUCAAUCAUGAAGCCCUUCAUGUUUACAUUUUACAGCACUAAUGACAUGUGGAAAUUCUCUGAGGAAAUAAUGGACAAAAGACAGAAUUUGGCCUAUUGUGAAUGUCACACAGAUGACGUGAGUUAUGUUCAAGAGUAAAGGGCCACAGAACAUUUCA